rnacentral:rRNA from 1 species
GGCCUAACACAUGCAAGUCGAGCGGAUGAAGGGAGCUUGCUCCCUGAUUCAGCGGCGGACGGGUGAGUAAUGCCUAGGAAUCUGCCUAUUAGUGGGGGACAACGUUUCGAAAGGAACGCUAAUACCGCAUACGUCCUACGGGAGAAAGCAGGGGACCUUCGGGCCUUGCGCUAAUAGAUGAGCCUAGGUCGGAUUAGCUAGUUGGUGAGGUAAUGGCUCACCAAGGCGACGAUCCGUAACUGGUCUGAGAGGAUGAUCAGUCACACUGGAACUGAGACACGGUCCAGACUCCUACGGGAGGCAGCAG